CGUCCCAUUAGCACGUCGCCGAAUGGCCUAAUAACCCGGCCACGACCUUCCUGUGCACGCUAUCUCCAACUUGAUUCCAUCGUCCUCCUCCUUCUGCAGCGCCGCCGCCGGCCACCAGCCUCCUCCCGCAGAGCCGCCGCCGGCUUCAUCCCACGGCCGUGCGCCUUCCUCCUCCCGCGGCCCUGCUCCCGAUCUUCUCCGGCGGCCGCGCGCCGUCUUACGGCCGUUGCCCCGCUGCCGGUCUCCUCCCACAGACGUGUCGCCGCCGACCCCCAACAGGAUCCCGUGCCUCCACCGCCCCAAGAUCCUAUGCCGUUGGGCGGGAUCCGGCGCCCGCACCCCCAUCGCAUCCACGUCCCUGCGAGCCCAAGCACACCGCCGGCCGCGUGCACUCGACGCGACACCUCCUGCCUCCCCACGUCGUCGCCUACCCCGCCAUCACCGCAACCACGCAUCGCUCGCGGCCGGGAUCCAUCGCGCAGUUCAACCAAGUCCGUGUGUGCAGUCCCUCCUCGUUCGCUUGCUUGACAGCAGAGCAAACAGUGCUCCCAAAUCUGCAGAAGGAGCUCCUGAUUUUUGAGGUCUGAAGUUCAGGUGUACCAUGGAGACUACUACGGCCGUUCGAAACACUAGCAGGCGACGUGCUAGCCAGCUGCAGGUCACGGUCUCCUCUCCUCGAGUUGCAGGUCGUCUAAAUCUGGAGUUCUGGACUAUCUGAUCUACCGGUUUAGCCUGCGCCGACCAUCGAAGCCUACCGAGGAUAAGCAGCACAAUGGGGUGUGGAUAGAUGAGAAAAGGGAAUUUCUCGAUAAGUUGAUUUCGCGGAAAAUAAGAGCUAAUAUAAAACCUGGAGUUGGAAGAUGGGUUUCAUAUUUGAACAGAGAGAGGAAACUAGCGCGGGACCAAGGCUGGCAGGUACCCCGUGCAUCUGCAAGGUGCUCCAGCUGGUCGUCGCCACCUCAUCUACUCGCCGGCUUCCGUACGUGAGCACAACCGGAGAGCCCCUGUAACUUCUACAUCCGCCCACGCAUCCUCAUGCUCUGCCUCCGCUCUCUCCGAUUAGUUGACCUUCUCACGAGGGCCACCACGACCUUCCCUGGACCAGCUAAUUUUUAACUUCAUGAGACGCCGCCCCGCGGCCAAACUCGUGCCUGCGCUUGGCUCCGUCCGCAGCAGCACACCACCUCCCUCGCCGUCCACCUGCCUGUGUUCAUAUUCUACAGGUGACCUUCUCUCCUCACGUGUACUGACCUUCCUCCUCCUGCUGCUUCCUCCUCCCUUUUAGGAUGAUUGAACUCUGUCGCAUGGAGUAGUAGAACCACCGGCGUGUCUUGUCCCCAUUCCUUAUUUGUGCGCCUUGCCUUCUGGCGUUGCCACGAUGAGAAACCAACUUGUCCAAUUUUUCAGUGGGGGAUCACACAGUGGGUGUUGAGGGGUACUGAAGUUCAGAGUGAACGUGGAUUAAGGUUCAGAGAUGUAUUUUUUAGUACAUUCAGAGAGGGUUUUCCCCUUGUUUUUCAUUUCUUAGCCUCUUCAUAAAUUAUCAGAUAAUUUCCGGGACUAACAUUCCAUUGUAGCUUAUAGUCUCAUGUAUGUAUGAUUUUUUUUGAUCAAGUAUACUCUGCAUCCUUGAAAAUACUCGAACCUGAUCAUAACUUGGUUAAGUCUUUGAUAUAGCAGAAACUUUUAUAGCCAAACAUAUUGCAAUCUGAAAAUUAUUAUCUUUGUGUGAAUAUGUUUUAACCCUAUGCAGAAAAAAUCAGCGGAAAGCUCCACACAGGCAAUUCUUGAUCCCUAGACCAGCUCGAUCAGUUAGUUGUGUGCAGAAUAUUACAUGUAGUUCUUUGGGUUCCCUACUUUCAUUUUGGUAAAACUAUUGAUGAAAAAAUGUACCUAUACAGAAAUUAUGGAUCGGUUCAAGAAAAAUGGAUGUUUACUAAUUUUGCGGUUUAAAGUUUUCUUUGUGUUUUUCUACAGCAGUUUGGAGUGUAUUUAUAUAGAAGAAAAAACAACAGCACGUGCACCGGAGCAGCAGGAGCGCAUUCACCAUCUAUGCACAUGUGUGUGUAGUGCACUUGAGGGAGCACUCCCCUGUUGCUAUUAUGCUCCUACGCCUCCCCAUGGAUCCUGUUCUCUUCUCUUCUUUUUGCUGUGAUUUUGUAAAUUGAAGAUCAUUCAUAACAGGGGAAGAAAAAGUUUUAGAGAGUUUUUCAUAAAAAGCCAUAGAUUUUAUUCUGAUUGUGAUGGACUUUUCUCACAUGUUUAUGCUAGUUCAUGCUCGUUUUGUACUCUUUUUUGUUCUUACUCUGUUUCAGAUUUUGGUUUGAAAAAGUAUGCGCAUGUUGACAGAGACAAUCUAUACAAAGAAGUUCAAAUAUUAUUGCCCUGUA